GACGGAGGAUGCAAGUGUUAUCCGGAAUCACUGGGCGUAAGGCGUCUGUAGGUGGUCAAAUAAGUCAACUGUUAAAUCUUGAGGCUCAACCUCAAAAUCGCAGUCGAAACUAUUAGACUAGAGUAUAGUAGGGGUAAAGGGAAUUUCCAGUGGAGCGGUGAAAUGCGUAGAGAUUGGAAAGAACACCGAUGGCGAAGGCACUUUACUGGGCUAUUACUAACACUCAGAGACGAAAGCUAGGGUAGCAAAUGGG
rnacentral:rRNA from 1 species